rnacentral:rRNA from 1 species
GACGAACGCUGGCGGCGUGCUUAACACAUGCAAGUCGAACGGAAAGGCCCCUUUGGGGGUACUCGAGUGGCGAACGGGUGAGUAACACGUGAGUAACCUGCCCUUGACUUCGGGAUAACUUCAGGAAACUGGGGCUAAUACCGGAUAGGAAUCCUUGCUGCAUGGUGGGGGUUGGAAAGCUUCGGCGGUUUUGGAUGGACUCGCGGCUUAUCAGCUUGUUGGUGGGGUAGUGGCUUACCAAGGCUUUGACGGGUAGCCGGCCUGAGAGGGCGACCGGCCACAUUGGGACUGAGAUACGGCCCAGACUCCUACGGGAGGCAGCAGUGGGGAAUAUUGCACAAUGGGCGGAAGCCUGAUGCAGCAACGCCGCGGGCGGGAUGACGGCCUUCGGGUUGUAAACCGCUUUCAGCAGGGGCGAAGCUUGUGGUGACGGUACCUGCAGAAGAAUCACCGGCUAACUACGUG